GGAACCGAAGUAUGCACAGCCUCUUUAUUGCUAGAACCGCUAUAAUUUAAUAUUGAGCUAAUAAUUUGAGUUAAUAUUUAUAAAGCACUUAGAAAGAGCCCAGCACAUAGUAAUAGCUAUCUAAGUUUUCAUUGAAUAAAUAAGGCACUUUCCAGAUUGGUUGGGUGAAUUCUUAACCUAGUGACAAAAUACAGAAUCAAAAUACACAGCAAUCUAAAUUUUUUUUUACCUUGAUAAAGAUUUAGGAACUGUAGUGCUCUGUAUUUAUUCCCACAUUUCAAGUGUACCCUAUAUAGUCUCUUGUGCAGGUCUAAAAUUAUACUCAUGGUUCAGAAAUCAAUGUGCACAAUUAAAUAAUGAAAGAGUUCAAGUUUCAAGAGAUGAAUUCUCUUUCCUCUCUCUCCAAGUAACCACCACUAAAAAUGACAAACUCUAAAAAUCUCAAAGCACUCCUAGAUGUACAGCCGAAUGCUAAAAGUGUGGGAAUAAACAGAGACAAAUUCACUUGAAAAGAGACGGAAAGGGUUCAAAUCACAAGAGAACUUAAGGGAUAGCAAUGGCAUUAAAGUCUCAAGACACCAGGUCCGCUGACAACAGGUUGAUUCCCGUGCCCUCCACUCCCGAGGCCUCCUCCAUCCCUGAUCCUCGCAGGUGACCCGCAGCCACUUUCGACCUCAGGUUGGGGUCUCCCUCCCUCCCCGUUCCCAGCUCCUCUUCGCUCUGAAGGUGCGCACGGGUUAACACUGUCGGUCCACCGACACCACUCGGGCGUUUAGGAAUCAAAAAGCAGAAUCUGAAUCCACCACGGGGAGACAAAGACCACAAACUCUGAGUCGGGUGCUGAGGCGAGGGUAUUGCUUUUCCCCUUCCGACCAACUCGGAGGUUUCCGGGCGGAGGUGCGGAGAGCUGCCAGGGGACCCGGGAAAGUCACGUUUGCUCCGUGGAGCGGCGGCAGUCGAGGCCCGUGACCCCCCGCCGCGCCCCAUCUCACCCGCCCGGGGACCUCGGGCUGCGGUCCGGACGCGCGCGGCCCCUGCCGCCCGCCCCCGCCGUGGGUCGCCGCGGCCCCACACCUACCCGGCUCCGCGGGGCUCCUCCCGGCGCGGCGGGCGCGGAGCCGAGCGCACCCGCGCUUCCUCCUUCCCGGCAGGGCCGCCGGGCGCCGGCGUUUCCUCCCUGACGCGUCACGGCGGCAGGCGGCUCCUCCCGCGGAGGGCGCGGGCGGCCCGGAGACCGGCGGCGGGCAGUGCGCGGGGAAGGCGCCCGCCGCGGAAGCCGGCUGUCCGGCCUCUUCCCGGGGGACCCCUCCGAUCCCGGGCCGCAGCGCGAAGGCCGGCCCGCCUCUCCGUGUGCGCGAAGCUCAGGGACGCCGGGGGUCCUGUCUGGAGGCUCAGACUCCCCGGCGUUUCGCGCUGCUCAGUGUUAGCGACCUCUGCCCGGGGCCCGAGAGCCGCUUGGGCCAAGGCGCCCGGGGCCGGCCAGUGAAGACGACCCUGGUGUGGGCAAGGAGCAGGAGCGCUGGACCGCCGGAGGGAUCAGCGUCGCCCGAGGAAUGGCCUGGCGGACAUGUGGCUGGGGGUCACCUGGAAACUCAAGAGAAGUGAAAUAAAUAGGAUAAAGAGAGGUACAGAAGGUGAAUGGAGAACUAAGAAUUAUAUGAUUCAAUGGGUGUGGAGUAAAGUGGUCAAGAUUUUGAAGCAGAGUGUUUUGUUUUGUUUGUUUUUUGCCGCACAACACUACUGUAAUUUAAAUUUUAUCAGAUAUCACUUGAAGAUAGACUCAAACAACUAUUUAAAGAUUCCUAUAUGCGUAACGUGCUUCAGAUUUUGAGGCAAUUGUCUGCUGUACACCAUCUGAUUCCAGAGAAUUUGCUACAAAUCUAUGAACAAGUAAACUUCCAGAGAUGAAAUGCCCAGUAGGAGACAUGGACCUCUAUAAAGGAUUGGAGCUCUGCAGCCUGGGUACAGUGUUGGGGGAGGCAGACAGCUGGACUGAACCUGGGCUGAGAAGGACAGUGGAGGAAGAGAGCCCAAGUGGGGGCCAUGCCAUUUACACUUGCUAAGGAAAGGAGGAGGUGACAGGCAGAAACUCGAGGCCAAGGGCAUGGGGGACUGAAACAGGUAUAAAAUGCUGGAAGAUGACACCAGACAUCUGAGUCAGAGAAAAAGAAGCUUUUAUCUCAAUGCACAGCAUAAAAAGCAUGAACAUCAGAAUGUUUGCAUCAAUUCCUCUUGCCUCCAAGUUCCACAGGAGUGAUGCGAAGGGGCCCGGAUAGAUGCCACACAUGCAGUGGGUUGUGUUGCAGCAAGGAAACAAUGAGCUUGGAGAACCCACUGCUUUUCUGGCAAGCAGCAAGCUCAGCCAGCUCUUUGUCCCAGAGGAGAUGAUACUUCAUCUCUCAAGAUUGCUUGCUGCAAACAAACCAUGAAAAAUGGCUUGGGUAAAGAGUGGUGUGGUGGAAAGCCUGGAAGAUGGCCCAUAAUGGUUCUUGCCUCUGGGUAUUCACUCUUUUGCAAAUCCCCUCCAGUUGACUGUGGGCUGGACUUACCGACUUACUUCUUACUAACUGAAUACAGCACAAGUGACAGGAUGUUGCUCCUGAGGUGAAGUUAUAAAAAGACUGUGGCUUCUGUCUUGGGCACCCUCUCAUGUUCUCUCACUCACUCACUCUGAGGGAAGACAGCUGUCACGUUGUGAGUUGCCUUAUGGAGAGACCAGCAUGGCAAGGAAAGGAUGUCUUUGGCCAACAGUCAGCAAGGACUUGAGGCCUGCUAACAGCCACAUAAGUGAGCUUGGAAGCAGAGUCUCCCCCAUUCAAGGCUGGACAUGACUGCAGCCCUGGCCUACACCUUAUUGCAGCCUUUUCAGAGACCCUGAGUCAGGGGCACCUGGCUAGGCUGCAC
ensembl:lncRNA